UAUGUAUCCUGUGUAAUCUAUUAUCUAUCGGUCAGCAUAAUGACGCAAAAGAAUGAAUGCUAAGUUGUUUGUCUCUCUGUAUAAAAGAAGCUCAGUUGUGCUUGUAAGGUGUGUCUCUUCUGGCAUAAGUCGAGGAGCACCCUCUCAGCUGACUGACAAAUAAAGGACCUGGUACCCAUCUUCUUGUCUCUCCGUGCCUCCUUGGUGUAAUUAGAGUUUGUGGCUGAUGUCAGAGAGAGAAGAAAUCAAGACAGCAGAGGGACUGAAUAGAGGGAAAGAAGGGAACAGGGAGACUCACCUGGCAAGAGAGGAAAAGGAGGAAUCCAUUCAGGAACAGAGAAAGGGAAUAGAUGCAAAAGAAUUAACUCUUCAGUGAAAAGGAGCCCAUGCGGCAAAGUUAGAGACCACAAGGAAACAGGAUGAAGACCCGUUCAGAAGAAGAAGAGAAUGGGAACAAGGGGGUUCACCCAGCUAUGGUGGGAGGGACAUGGAACGUGACUCACCCUGAAUGCUCAGAAGGUAAGGAUUAAAUCUUUCAGUAAAUAUGUGAAGAAUAGAAACCAAAUAUCUGAAGAAGAAGAAACCAACAACCGUUAGUUUCAAUUUCUAUGAGCAUAAAACAAAACAAGGUGCCUGUUAUAUCCACAGUUAUGCUAGCUUUUCAAAACUGAUCUCUAUUGGGGGGAGGGAAAGAGAGAAAGCAAAGACUUUGAAUAUGAUGAAAAUUAAAAAGAGUUCAAUGUUAGAUCUUAGGAAAAGCAUGUGCAGUAUUGGACACCUAGAAUGCACAGUGUCUUUUCUGCAUUGACAUAUUGGCAAAUUAGGAUAGAUUUUGACUACAGAAAUAUUAACUUUUCAGUACUAAACAUUCUGAAUUGCUUGCAAACAAUUCAAUAUGCUGUUUGUUUUAUUUUGCAUUUUAGAAUGAUGCAUUUUUAAUUUCCUGUAAGGAGAUUCUUUUAACAUAAUAAGAACCAUUUCACACAUUCUGGGAUUGAGUGGUACAGCUGGGUGAAUAUUGCAAGAAAAGUAUGUGGCUAUGUUUAAUUUUUUUAACAAAUUUGCUUUGAAUCUGUUUACUCCUUUUUGUGUGUGCUUACUUUUUGAGAAUAUACUUGUUAAAGAGUCUAUGGGCAAUGUUGAAAGGAAGGGGCAAAUGUUAAGCAAACAUUGGAAAAAAAAAUUUCCCCCACAAACUGAAUUUUGAAUCCACAAAAGUAUUCUGACUGGAAAACACCCUCAGCCAAUCAUUGAACAAAAACAUAACAUAGUGUUGGUAUCAACUCGAAAUGGAUCAACAUUUCUGAAUAUUAAAUACUUGCUACAAUCUGUCCAUAAUAAUCCGCAGACCAAGAAUUAUUUCCAGAAAUUAUGUGGCUAACAAAUGCAUUGAUAUUUGUAUUAUGUCUGCUUUCAAAGAUUCCAGAGAGACAAGAUGGGUGAGUUAAUAUCACAAAGAUUCCAAUCACAGGAGAACCUUGUUGUAUGGCACCUAGCUCAAAUGCUUGCAAAAACAGUCUUUGCCCCCAAAAUAUCAAUUGUAGAAAAAUAAGCCUGUCUAUGGCAAUUUUUGGGCGAAAAGAAAGGGCAAAAUUGGACUGUUCUUGGCUAAAAUUAUUCAGUCACAUCAACUAAUUCGUAAAAGGCUGAUGUCUAGCCACUGGAUCCUGAAAAGACUUAAGCAUGUGGAUGGCUACUCACAUGAGCAGUCCACUUAAAUCAGUUGUAGGUAAACUUUGUAUAUUGAUACUGUCCAGGCAAAUAUAACAGCUCUUAACUAAUUGCUCACCAUAGCUUUGGCAAACAAGCCUGCCCUAUGCAUAAAUAUAAAUUAUUAAUGGUAGUGGUUACUUACAUCAGAUCAUAAUUCUUCACCGUGUCAAAUUCUUCCACUGCAUAUGUUGAUGAUGCGGUAACUUCACAAUACCUUGCAUACAUAGUAACUGGAACUUUUCAACAACCCUAAGCUGUACCAAACUCAUGGCACCACUACAGUAUAAAGUGUAGCAAGGGUCCUUAUUUUCUCUGAUUUGCAACUUUUUUCAUAAAUCUGUUUAAUGUUCUUGCUGCUCAUGUUACAUUGGAUAAUUAUCUACUUCAGUCACUGUCUCUGAGCUCGGAAGGGGUCACUGUGUAGCCCCAAUGUUACUUUUAGGAACUCAGAGUAUGAAAACUUUUUGAAUCAUGCUUUAAGCUUUAUACUUGAGAGACUACUUCAAUGAAGGCCACAAUGGGCUCUAUGAGCAGGCUGUCCAGGGCAUGAUCUCUUCCCCUAUUGUAAUUGACAAAAUGAGUAAACCUUCAGGAGUUUCUACCUCCAAGAGCUCAGCCAUUCUAGAAGACAAUCAGGGACAUAAUUUCCUGGGUUUAGUUAAUCUCUUAAUCAAUAUUUCCUGAUUAGAAUAUUAAAAAUUCAUCUCAGGCCACCCAGUUCUCUCAGAUCUCUGCACUGUUUCCCAGGUUGGGGUGAGCCUCAUGCUUUUCUGUAUUUAUAAGCAGCUCUGACUCGCCUCUUCCAUUAUUACUUCAAUCUUAAUUUUCCUUGUUAUGCAGAUAAUAUGCAAAUGUCUUCUGGCUUGUUCAAAUCCAUUCCUACUAUUACUGAUUAUUAGCGUUCAUUACAAUCCUAGA